GCUCCCUUAGCUCAGCUGGAUAGAGCAUCUGACUACGAAUCAGAAGGCCGGGCGUUCGAAUCGCUCAGGGAGCACCA
rnacentral:tRNA from 14 species